rnacentral:rRNA from 1 species
AGAGCGAACGCUGGCGGCAGGCCUAAUACAUGCAAGUCGAACGCACCUUCGGGUGAGUGGCGGACGGGUGAGUAACACGUGGGAACGUGCCUUUUGGUUCGGAAUAAUCCGGGGAAACCUGGCCUAAUACCGGAUGUGCCCUUCGGGGGGAAAGAUUUAUCGCCAUUAGAGCGGCCCGCGUCUGAUUAGCUAGUUGGUGAGGUAACGGCCCACCAAGGCUACGAUCAGUAGCUGGUCUGAGAGGAUGAUCAGCCACACUGGGACUGAGACACGGCCCAGACUCCUACGGGAGGCAGCAGUAGGGAAUCUUGCGCAAUGGGGGAAACCCUGACGCAGCCAUGCCGCGUGAAUGAUGAAGGUCUUAGGAUUGUAAAAUUCUUUCAGCGGGGAAGAUAAUGACUGUACCCGCAGAAGAGCUCCGGCUAACUUCGUGCCAGCAGCCGC